rnacentral:misc_RNA from 1 species
ACAAAAGGGAAAAAGGCGUGGCUCGUUUCCACGUUCUGCUCCCGAAAUCCUGUAUUCACCCCAAGUUCCUUAAAAAUUUCAAUAAAAAAACUUUUGCAAAAAGGCCACGUUUUAUAAAGUGGCAUCUAAUUGCACAAAGCGA